GACGAACGCUGGCGGCGUGCCUAAUACAUGCAAGUCGAGCGCUCAAGCUUGGUGCUUGUACCUACUGCAUUAGCAGCGGACGGGUGAGUAACGCGUGGGUAAUCUGCCUUUGAGCGUGGGACAACUUCUGGAAACGAAUGCUAAUACCGCAUAAAAACUUUAAACACAUGUUUUAAGUUUGAAAGAUGCAAUUGCAUCACCUAAUGAUUAUCCCGCGUUGGCUUAGCUAGUUGGUGAGGUAAAGGCCCACCCAGGCGAUGAUACAUAGCCGGCCUGGAAGGGUGAUUGGGCAAAAUGGGAAUGAGAAACGGCCCCAAACCCCAAGGGAGGGAGCAGUAGGGAAACUUCGGGAAUGGACGAAAGUCUGAACGGGCCAAGGCGGGGGAGUGAAGAAGGUUUUCGGAUCGUAAAAAUCCGUUGGUAGAGAAGAACGUAAGUGGGAGUGGACAGCUCAUCAAGUGACGGUAACUACUCAGAAAGCGACGGCUAACUACGUG
rnacentral:rRNA from 1 species